AUUGAACGCUGGCGGCAGGCCUAACACAUGCAAGUCGAACGAGUGGCGGACGGGUGAGUAAUGUCUUGGAAACUGCCCGAUGGAGGGGGCUAACUACUGGAAACGGUAGCUAAUACCGCAUACCAUCGGAUGUGCCCAGAUGGGAUUAGCUAGUGUGUGGGGUAACGGCUCACCUAGGCGACGAUCCCUAGCUGGUCUGAGAGGAUUACCAGCCACACUGGGACUGAGACACGGUCCAGACUCCUACGGGAGGCAGCAGUGGGGAAUAUUGCGCAAUGGUCGCAAGCCUGAUGCAGCCAUGCCGCGUGUAUGAAGAAGGCCUUCGGGUUGUAAAGUACUUUCAGCGGGGAGGCGGUACCCGCAGAAGAAGCACCGGCUAACUCCGUGCCAGCAGCCGCGGUAAUUC
rnacentral:rRNA from 1 species